CAUUUUAAUUAAAAUAAGAGGCAUUUAUUUUCUGGUUCUUUCUCCACAAAACAGCCCCCUUCUCUCUCUCUCUCUCUCUAUCCCUCUUUGUAUUUUGUUGAAAAAUUUGGUGAUUUGCUUAGUGUUCAAGCUUGAAAUUGGAGGGUGUUAAAGCUUGAUCUUCGAAAGGGUAAAUCUAUCUCUGAUCAGCCAUGAGUAUGGGAUUGGGCGAUGUAUGUACAUGUUCGGGCCACACUAGACCAAGCGGGUUGGGGUCUACCAGUGUUGAAACUUUUGUAACUCUAUUUUGCCGCUUAGGUCGGCUAAGGAGAAAAGACUUGUAAUAUUUUGUAAAAUGAUUUUUGGGAUCCCGAAAGAUGUAACUUUUGUUUGUAAGGUUAAAAUUAUUACAGGUUUAUUUUCA